UACGGAGGGUGCAAGCGUUAUCCGGAUUCACUGGGUUUAAAGGGUGCGUAGGUGGGCAGGUAAGUCAGUGGUGAAAUCUCUGGGCUUAACUCAGAAACUGCCAUUGAUACUAUCUGUCUUGAAUACCGUGGAGGUCAGCGGAAUAUGUCAUGUAGCGGUGAAAUGCUUAGAUAUGACAUAGAAUACCAAUUGCGAAGGCAGCUGGCUACACGAAUAUUGACACUGAUGCACGAAAGCGUGGGGAUCAAACAGG
rnacentral:rRNA from 1 species